GGAUUGUGGUUCAGAGGUAGAGCGCUCACCUAGCAUGCACGGGGUCCUGUGUUCGAUCCUCAGCACCA
rnacentral:tRNA from 1 species